rnacentral:rRNA from 1 species
CAAUAGCGUAUAUUAAAGCUGUUGCGGUUAAAAAGCUCGUAGUUGGAUUUCUGUCAAGGACAACUGGUCCGCCCUCCGGGUGAGCACAUAGUUUGGUCUUGGCAUCUUGUUCAAAACUGUUACUGCGCUUGGUUGUGUGGUGCAGUUUUGGGCACUUUCACUUUGAGGAAAUUGGUGUGUUUCAAGCAGGCACAUGCCUUUGGACACAGUAGCAUGGAAUAAUUAGAUUGGGCUUUUGCUCCAACUUGUCGGUUCCUGGAGCUGAGGUGAGAAUCAAUGGGGAUUGUUGGGGGCAUCUGAAUUUAGCCGUCAGAGGUGAAAUUCUUGGAUCUGCUAAAGACGGACAACUGCGAAAGCGUUUGCCCAGGAUGUUUUCAUUGA